UUAUUUUACAUAAGUUAAGGGGUCACAUAUAUUUAUUAAAAAUCACAUAAGCAUUCAACAUAUCACAAAAACUAGUUAUGCAUAUAAUAGCAGAAUAGAAUAAUGCAUUGCUGACAAAAAUAUUGAGAAAAGAUGGGAAUCUCGCCAUUGAGAGCAUACAAAAUUGGCAAAAUAUUUUUUACAAGUAAUAAGUGGGGCUUGAAGUGUUAUGGAUACAUAAUUGUCAAUUUUGGCAAUACAGCACGAUUGAGAGGAAAUAAAAUGGUUAUCAGUGUAAUGUAAUUUAGGGUAAAAGACGAAGUGGAGUUGACUUGGGAAGGAAUUAACUCAUGAGUUUAAAAUAAGAAGUUGUGGAUGGAGGAUGAGGACUCUAUUUGUUCCUCAUGGUAUUUCUUGUUAUAUUUUCCUUUGUCAUACAAGAAGACAAGGCCCAAAAAAUGGACAUAAGUAUCUCUUGUAAAGAGUCCAGAUUCCUGAACAUCAAGUUUAAGGGAGGAGACAUUUGCCUAGAAGGUCAAGCAAUAUCACCAAAAUUUUAAGUGUCAAGGGAUCAUUCACCAGCAACUUUUUUUGACAAAGUAUAAUAUAAUGGGGCUGUGGAAAUAUCUGUUUACCAAACUUAUGAAGCUGUGACACUGUUAAUGUGCGCAAUCAUUUGUCACGGCGAAAUAAGGUGCAGAGCUUUUGAAUUUGAAAUGAGCGGAUGUAAAUUAAUCAACACAUACUCAAUUAUUGAGAGUAAUUGUCACAAAAUCUACAUUAAAGAACGUAAGUGAUUUAAAUAACACAAAUCAACAAAAUUUCAACUCUUUUAUUUCUUGGAUUGAGAUGAUGCAUUCCAAAUUUCUUUUUAUAAGACGCACUGAACUUUAUCGACACAUGAUUAUGGCUAGAGCUUUUCUAAAGUGAAAUUCGUUAUCUAUAUUAAAUAUGAAUAUGAUAUUAUAACUCACAUUUUAUUUUUCGAUGUAACACACUGAGCUACACACACGAAGUAAAUUUAAUUAGGACCACACGAUCUCCAUCCAUGGGCAUAUUAAAACGACU
rnacentral:lncRNA from 1 species